ACGACGGACAAACGGGGCACAUUCCCCCGA
rnacentral:sRNA from 1 species